UGACGUGCGCACAGUGUGGCGGCAGACAGUGAUCAGAUAUGGCAAAGUCAAAGAACCACACCACACACAACCAGUCCCGCAAAUGGCACAGAAAUGGCAUAAAGAAGCCCAGAUCUCAGCGCUAUGAGUCCCUGAAGGGGCGCGAGUCCGAUAGUGAUACAUCGGAAGAUCAACCAGAACCACCAUCGCAAGCAUGAUGAGAACAGGACGUUUCUCAGUGGU